rnacentral:rRNA from 1 species
CCUACGGGAGGCAGCAGUGGGGAAUAUUGCACAAUGGGGGAAACCCUGAUGCAGCGACGCCGCGUGAGUGAAGAAGUAUCUCGGUACGUAAAGCUCUAUCAGCAGGGCAGAAAAUGACGGUACCUGACUCAGAAGCCCCGGCUAACUACGUGCCAGCAGCCGCGGUAAUACGUAGGGGGCAAGCGUUAUCCGGAUUUACUGGGCGUUAAGGGAGCGUAGACGGCAGCAUAGGUCUGGAGUGAAAUCCCGGGGCUUAACCCCGAAACGGCUUUGGAAACUGGUCGGCUGGAGUGCAGGAGGGGUAAGCGGAAUUCCUAGUGUAGCGGUGAAAUGCGUAGAUAUUAGGAGGAACACCGGUGGCGAAGGCGGCUUACUGGACUGUAACUGACGUUGAGGCUCGAAAGCGUGGGGAGCAAACAGGAGUAGAUACCCGGGUAGUC